rnacentral:rRNA from 1 species
GGACUACUGGGGUUUCUAAUCCUGUUUGCUCCCCACGCUUUCGCGCCUCAGCGUCAGUUAUGAGCCAGAAAGUCGCCUUCGCCACUGGUGUUCCUCCACAUCUCUACGCAUUUCACCGCUACACGUGGAAUUCCACUUUCCUCUCUCACACUCAAGUGAACCAGUUUCCAGUGCGAACCGGGGUUGAGCCCCGGGCUUAAACACCAGACUUAGUUUACCGCCUGCGCGCGCUUUACGCCCAAUAAUUCCGGACAACGCUUGCCCCCUACGUAUUACCGCGGCUGCUGGCAC